rnacentral:rRNA from 1 species
CCAGACUCCUACGGGAGGCAGCAGUGGGGAAUAUUGCACAAUGGGGGAAACCCUGAUGCAGCGACGCCGCGUGAGUGAAGAAGUAUUUCGGUAUGUAAAGCUCUAUCAGCAGGGAAGAAAAUGACGGUACCUGACUAAGAAGCCCCGGCUAACUACGUGCCAGCAGCCGCGGUAAUACGUAGGGGGCAAGCGUUAUCCGGAUUUACUGGGUGUAAAGGGAGCGUAGACGGCGGAACAAGUCAGAAGUGAAAACCCGGGGCUCAACCCUGGGAGUGCUUUUGAAACUUUUUGGCUGGAGUGCAGGAGAGGUAAGCGGAAUUCCUAGUGUAGCGGUGAAAUGCGUUGAUAUUAGGAGGAACACCAGUGGCGAAGGCGGCUUACUGGACUGUAACUGACGUUGAGGCUCCAAAGCGUGGGGAGCAAACAGGAUU